GUGCUCCUCCAGCGCUGACCACUGGCCCGCUCGCAUCAAUUCCGCCGGUGUUACUCCCCUUCGACGCCUCCCUGCGCGACGUGACGCGGGCGGAGCUGCGGUUCCAUCGCCGCCCACCGAGAACAUUGAGUUGCGCAACCGAAUCAGAUUGUGUGCACUCCAUCGCUCUGCUCAUGGCCCUCCUCGCGCCGGAAGCAGUCAUCCCCGCCGCGGCGCUCGAUCUGAAAAAGAGUUCGCAUUCCGGCAGGAGGAGCUCGGCAAGGAGAAGCGGUGGGACGGUAGACAUCCACGAGCGCCGCCUGUUCCUCUUCUACAAGGGCCUGUACGUGGCGCGUAGGUGGGCGCGUGUGUGCCACGUAUGGGUGUCUAGGCUCAAGCCAGAGGCCGGUCUGUGGCCGCGCCCAGUUGAGCGGGAGCAGCAGGGAUCCAGUCAAUCUUUUGGAGCUGGCUGUUAGUGCGUGUAGUGGUGCGCACUAUGUGCGCGGCCAUGCAGAUCAUGCAUGCGGGCGUAGUGGGAGUGCGUGGGCAGGAGUGAAGCGCGGUGUGCGUGCCUGCUCUGUCUAUAUAACCAUACCGUGUACUGCUUGUAUGACUGAGCCGAGUGGAAUACAAGAGAGAAAAAGGCGUUCGUCACCGGCGGGGCAUCCGUCGCCGCAGGCGUUUGUCGCCGGGCAAAUGUCUCCUCGUAUUCUUGUCUGAUCGUCCGUCGAUCCUCGAUUCCAACAUUUGGUAUCAUGAGCUGAUACAUCUCGGGUGUCGUUCUUCUUGCCGGAGGUGUGCCGACGGUGGCGGAGUUCGCCAGCGGCUGCGCGAUGCUCCAGGCCGUGUGUCGGCCCAUGGAGGUGGGCGGCGCUGUGGCUGUCAUGGCGCGUGGCGGAGGCGGCGGGCGGUGACGUCGUACGUGCGGCGAUCGCGGAGGCCGCCGAGGCGCUGCAUGGUGACGCGGCGGCGCAGCACGGUGUGGCGGCGUGGAGGCCCUGCAUGGCGGCAUGAAGGCCGCGGCGGUACAGGGCAAUAAGCCGCGGCGGUGAGCCGGACGCGACCGGUGCGUGUUAUGGGUGCGCACUGGGCGCGUCGGGACCGCGGGCGCGCGUACGAGCGUGCGGUUGACGUUGGGAGGAGGCGUAUGUCGCCGUUGUGCUCGAGUUCGGCUACAUCCUUCCGGCGUUUGUUGCUGUCGGCUGCCAUGGCGGACGCGGUGAGCGGCUGGUGCGGUCGGGCUCGUCGGGCGCGUCGGAUGCGCGCGGGACGUGCAGGACGCACUGGUGUGGUCGGGCUCGUCCGGCGCGUCAGGUGCGCGGGACGUGCGGGACACACUGGGACGGUCGGGCGCGUCGGGUGCGCGCGCGACGUGCAAGGCGCCAAGGGACGUCAGGCGUGUGUGGCCGGUGGAGGAGGAGCUCGGUGUGUGUCGCCGGAGUCGUGAUGGAGCACGGUGCGACCGGCGUCGUUGCGCCAGGUCAGGUCCGCGGGCUGGGUCACGCUCGUGACGACGACAACGACGGGAGCUGCAACAACUUCGACGAUGGCGAAGUCAUGACUUAGGAGGAGAGGGUUGGCAAUAAGCCAUUUGUGUGUACGUGGCGCGUAGGUGGGCGCGUGUGUGCCACGUAUGGGUGUUAGGCUCAAGCCGAAGGCCGGUCUGUGGCCGCGCCCAGUUGAGCGGGAGCAGCAGGGAUCCAGUCAAUCUUUUGGAGCUGGCUGUUAGUGCGUGUAGUGGUGCGCACUAUGCGCGCGGCCAUGCAGAUCAUGCAUGCGGGGGGAGUGGGCGUGCGUGGGCAGGAGUGAAGCGCGGCCUGCGUGCCUGCUCUGUCUAUAUAACCAUACCGUGUACUGCUUGUAUGACUGAGUCGAGUGGAAUACAAGAGAGAAAAAGCGUUCGUCGCCGGCGGGGCAUUCGUCGCCGCGGGCGUUUGUCGCCGGGCAAAUGGUCUCCUCGUGUUCUUGUCUGAUCGUCCGUCCAUCCUCAGUUCCAACACAGGAGCGGCAAAGCUCAGCCUGCCGGUCGCUGCUAGGGGUUGACGUUUCUAUCACUAUUGUCUCAGUUGGUGGAACAGUACAUCUAGCAUCGUAGAUUUUCUCUUUAGUGGUAGAUGUGACAUCAGUCUCGCCACCCCACAUCCUAAGCAAGUCCCAGGCCCGACGAGUCCUAGUGUGCUUCCGGUAAUUAUGUGUUCCUCUUCAGUGUGUGUUCCUUCUCCAUCCUUAUAUUGCAUUAACAUAUUGAAGUCAAGUUGCAUGUAUAUUCUGCGUGUUCCAUGUGGUAGAUGCAUGUCCGCUAGCCUAGCAUCAUCGUCAGGUUUCCUUGGUUGUUUAAUGGAUUAAGUUCCAUGGUAUAAUAAAAGUCAAUUUCGCUUGUAUGAUGAGCUGCUAUUUUAUCUCAUUGUGUUUUGCCUCAGUGUCUCACCGGAACAACUUUGUUUAAGUAAAUUCUCUUCUUGACCUUACA